AUGCAUGGUGGCCUAAGGGAAAAACUAAAUCUAAUGUAUGCAUGGUGUCCUGCCCUGCCUGCCUGGCUAGUUCGGGUGCCCUGUGGUGGAGGGGCUGGAGCCGGGCUGCUGCUGGAAGCCGGCGGGCGGCGGGGUCGGGGCGCCCGGGUGGUGGUCCACGGACGACGAGUAGUUGUUGUAGGCCUCGGCGAGGUCCAGGUCGAACUCCUUCUGCUUGAGCACGAGCAGCAUGCGCUGGCCGUCGACGCGCCGGCGCUCGAUCCGCAGCCGCUCGUGCUCCAUGUCCCACUCCUUGGUGGCCUUGAACUGCUCCCACUUGUGGCGCUGCUUCUCCAGCGCGUACUCGCGGACCUCGUACGCCAGCUUCUGCUUCUCCAGCUCCAGCGCGCGCCGCUGCAUCCACUGCCGCAGCUGCUGCUGGUCGCCGCCGGCCUCCGCCGCGGCCAGCUCGCGCUGCAACUGCUGCAUGGCGCACGGCCUCCUGCGGGCGUGCUUGUUCCCGUCCUCUUCUCCGUCUUCUCCGGCCGCAGCCGCGCUGCUCUCGCCGCGACGGCGCUUGUUCUUGUGCCCGCCGUAGUUGUGGAAGCCAUUACUGUCGUCGACGCGGCUCCCGCGGCGGUUGGUGCCCGGCGCCUUCUCCUCCACGUCGUCCAGGUCGUAGUCGUCGUCCUCCUCCUCUUCAGCCUCUUUGCUGCUGAGGACGUCGUCCUCGCUGUCGUCCUCAGAACGCGUGGAGGAAUUCACCAUCGCUACCACCUGGAGGCCGGCAGACGAGUUGGCAGCGCCCGGCACUGCCGCCGGCCGCGGGUGGUGGAAGCAGGCCGCGCCGUCGUCGGUGCCGUGCGAGGCUGCUGCGGCGGCGCCGGGGGGGUUGUGGUAGGUGCACAUCUCGCGGAAGAAGAGGUGCUUGGAGCUGAGCAGCUUGCGCGCCUCCUCCUUGGCCUUGGCGGUGAGCUCGCCCAUGGCGUCGAGCAGCGCGGGGUUCUCGACCACCUUGCACGCCGUGCCGCGGCCGAGCAGGUCGACGACGCGCUUGUAGCGCUUGUUGAGGUCGUUGAACUUGUCCUCGCAUUGCUGCGGCGACACCUUGAAGCCGUUCUCCACCAUCGCCCGGGACACGGACUUCCACUUGCCCUUCUUCUGCUGCGCCGCGGCCUGUGGCCCGUGCCCGCCGUGCGCCGCCGCAGACGCCCCCGCCUUCCCGUGCGAGUGCGACGCCGCCGCCUUGCCUCCUGCAGACACGCCCUCGCCGUCGUCCCCGGCGUUGUAUACCACAGCGAUGAGCAGACGCACCAUCGCGUCCGUCCACUUCAUCCGGGACCACGGGCACCCCGCCGCCCCCGCCCCCGGCUGCUGCAGGACGCCGCCGCCAUUCCCGACGCCGUUGCCCAUCUCCUCCUCUUCAUGCGCCUUGACCACCCUCGACGGCGGCGCCACGUAAGCCGCGUACGGUGGCUGUGGGUGCUGCUGCCUCACCGGCAUGGCCUGGUGGUGCUGGACCUGGAAGCCGCCGUCGCCGCCGUUGCCGUGGUGGAGGUGCUCCGGCGGCUGCUGGAACGAGGAGGCCGCGUGCAUCUGCGGCUGCGGCUGGUGGACGAGAUGCAUCUCCAUGCCCAGCAUCGCCCCCGCAGACCCACGCGCACCCAGCCCUGCUCCGUCAAUCCUCUCCAUCUGCAAAGCCUGGCCACCGGUCUCUGGUUGUCAACUCUUUUUUUCUCUGAGGGACUCUUGUGGUCAACUAUAGGUUUGGCGCUGGCCGGUGGAGAGGAGCGGCGAAUAAAAAGAGGAGCGGGGGCAGACGGCCGCCGCCGGUAUCGGCGCCGAACAGCAGCAGCCGCCUCCGCUAGAGGGAGCGGCACACGCUCUCGGUUUUGUGGGGAGCCCACGGUCGCGCCGAAAACCACCUAG
rnacentral:rRNA from 1 species